UUGAAGUUAAUGGAGGAAGAUUAGCAAAGCGAUCUAUUUCAUUAUAGUGAAAUUAAAAUGGAGGCAUGCCAAAAAAUAAAAAUAGCUCCUUGUAUUAUAACAAAUAUUUUUAAAAACUUUUAGCGCAAGUCAGGUCAAAAAACGUUGGCUGCAGUAGCUGAAAAAGCCAAAGCUGUAAACUUUGUUCUAAAACAGCCUCUUUGUUCGUUACCAGAGCAGAGCGCUAAGGGGAAAAACAUACUAAGGUAUUUCGUGGAGCACAAAGUACUGUCCAACGAUGAACGGAAAAAUUUAAUAAGCAUUAUAGUGGACGAUGUUCAAGCCAGAGGACUUUUCCUUUAUUGCACGAGGACCUCGUAACAACGCGUCCGGAAAACUACAUUCG